CCCUGGUUAGCUCAGUUGGUAGAGCGCUCCACUUGUAAUGCAGACGUCCCGGGUUCAAUACCCGGACCAGGCG
rfam:Ixodes scapularis strain Wikel colony gcontig_1108379542237, whole genome shotgun sequence.